rnacentral:rRNA from 1 species
GGUUAAGUUAGAAAGGGCGCACGGUGGAUGCCUUGGCACUAGGAGCCGAAGAAGGACGGGACUAACACCGAUAUGCUUUGGGGAGCUGUACGUAAGCGUUGAUCCAGAGAUUUCCGAAUGGGGGAACCCACUAUCUUUAGUCGGAUAGUAUCCUUACGUGAAUACAUAGCGUGAGGAAGGCAGACCCAGGGAACUGAAACAUCUAAGUACCUGGAGGAAGAGAAAGAAAAAUCGAUUUCCUGAGUAGCGGCGAGCGAAACGGAAAGAGCCCAAACCAAGAAGCUUGCUUCUUGGGGUUGUAGGACACUCUAUACGGAGUUACAAAAGAAAGUUAUAAAUGAAGCGGUCUGGAAAGGCCCGCCAAAGACGGUAACAGCCCGGUAGUUGAAAUGGCUUUCCCUCCAGAGUGGAUCCUGAGUACGGCGGAACACGUGAAAUUCCGUCGGAAUCCGGGAGGACCAUCUCCCAAGGCUAAAUACUCCCUAGUGACCGAUAGUGAACCAGUACCGUGAGGGAAAGGUGAAAAGCACCCCGGAAGGGGAGUGAAACAGUUCCUGAAACCGUGUGCCUACAAGUAGUUAGAGCCCGUUAAUGGGUGAUAGCGUGCCUUUUGUAGAAUGAACCGGCGAGUUACGAUUUGUUGCAAGGUUAAGCGGAAAAAGCGGAGCCGUAGCGAAAGCGAGUCUGAAUAGGGCGCAUAAGUAACAGGUCGUAGACCCGAAACCAGGUGAUCUACCCAUGUCCAGGAUGAAGGUAAGGUAAUACUUACUGGAGGUCCGAACCCACGCACGUUGAAAAGUGCGGGGAUGAGGUGUGGGUAGCGGAGAAAUUCCAAUCGAACUUGGAGAUAGCUGGUUCUCUCCGAAAUAGCUUUAGGGCUAGCCUCGAGGUAAAGAGUCAUGGAGGUAGAGCACUGUUUGGACUAGGGGCCCUUCUCGGGUUACCGAAUUCAGAUAAACUCCGAAUGCCAUGUACUUAUACUCGGGAGUCAGACUGCGAGUGAUAAGAUCCGUAGUCGAAAGGGAAACAGCCCAGACCACCAGUUAAGGUCCCCAAAUAUAUGUUAAGUGGAAAAGGAUGUGGGGUUGCUUAGACAACCAGGAUGUUGGCUUAGAAGCAGCCACCAUUGAAAGAGUGCGUAAUAGCUCACUGGUCGAGUGACCCCGCGCCGAAAAUGUACCGGGGCUAAACAUAUUACCGAAACUGUGGAUGAACCUCUUUAGAGGUUCGUGGUAGGAGAGCGU